UGCCAGCCGCCGCGGUAAUACGGGGAGUGCAAGCGUUGUUCGGAAUUAUUGGGCGUAAAGCGCGUGUAGGCGGCUUUGUAAGUCUGGAGUGAAAGCCCUCGGCCCAACCGAGGAAGUGCUUCGGAUACUGCAAGGCUUGAAUCCUGGAGAGGCAGGUGGAAUUCCCAGUGUAGAGGUGAAAUUCGUAGAUAUCAGGAGGAACACCGAUGGCGAAGGCAUCUCUCUGGGUCGAUAUUGACGCUGAGGCGCGAAGGCGUGGGUAGCGAACGGGAUUAGAUA
rnacentral:rRNA from 1 species